rnacentral:rRNA from 1 species
UACGUAGGGGGGCGAGCGUUGUCCGGAUUUAUUGGGCGUAAAGAGCUCGUAGGCGGUUUGGCAAGUCGGGUGUGAAAACUCCGGCUCAACUCGGAGACGCCACUCGAUACUGCCCAUGACUCGAGUCCGGUAGGGGAGUGCGGAAUUCCUGGUGUAGCGGUGAAAAUGCGCAGAUAUCAGGAGGAACACCGGUGGCGAAGGCGGCACUCUGGGCCGGUACUGACGCUGAGGGAGCGAAAAGCGUGGGGGAGCGAAACAGGAUU